UACAGAGGGGGCAAGCGUUAUUCGGAAUUAUUGGGCGUAAAGGGCGCGUAGGCGGCUUUGCAAGUGACGGGUGAAAGCCCUCGGCUUAACCGAGGAACUGCCUGUCAGACUGUAAGGCUUGAGACCGGGAGAGGUGAGUGGAAUUCCCAGUGCAGCGGUGAAAUGCGUAGAUAUCUGGAGGAACACCGGUGGCGAAGGCGGCGUCCUGGACCAACACUGACACUGAUGAGCGAAAGCCAGGGGAGCAAACGGG
rnacentral:rRNA from 1 species